UCCCUGGUAGUCUAGUGGUUAAGAAUUGGUACUUACACUGCCAGGGACCAGGUUCAAUCCUUGGUUGGUGAA
rnacentral:tRNA from 1 species